rnacentral:sRNA from 1 species
AGUCACCGUCCCGGAACCUGGGGCAGCGGAGUCCAGUGCGCCCUGUGGUGACAGCUCAGGAGGGUGUGUGCGCUCAGCAGAGGCCAGCAUGGACCAGUCUGUGGCAAUCCAGGAGACGCUGGCUGAGGGGGAAUACUGCGUCAUCGCGGUGCAAGGUGUGCUGUGUGAGGGGGACAGCCGGCAGAGCCGCCUCCUGGGUCUCGUGCGCUACCGCCUGGAGCACGGCGGCCAGGAACACGCUCUCUUCCUCUAUACGCACCGGAGGAUGGCCAUUACCGGGGACGAUGUCUCUCUGGACCAGAUAGUGCCGGUCUCGCGGGAUUUUACGCUGGAAGAAGUGUCCCCAGAUGGUGAAUUCUACAUCAUUGUAGAGACGGGUUUUCACCGUGUUGGCCAGGAUGGUCUCGAUCUCCUGACCUUGUGAUCCGCCUGCCUCAGCCUCCCAAAGUGCUGGGAUUACAGGCGUGAGCCACCGCACCCAGCCUAAAUCAGGCUUUUCUCACAGGUCUAUGAGGUUAUCACUGUUUGCAUCUCCAUUUUAUGGACAAGGCUCAGAUGUGACCGUCCAGCUGGACACAGCAGAAC